UACCAGCUCUUCGAGUUGUGUGGAUGUUUAUUGGGCCUAAAGCAUCCGUAGCUGGCUGGGCAAGUCCCCUGUUAAAUCCACCGAUUUAAUCGUUGGAGUGCGGGGGAUACUGUUCGGCUAGGGGACGGGAGAGGCAGACGGUAUUUUCGGGGUAGGGGCGAAAUCCUAUAAUCCCGGGAAGACCACCGGUGGCGAAGGCUGUCUGCUAGAACGCGCCCGACGGUGAGGGAUGAAAGCUGGGGGAGCGAACCGGAUUAGAUACCCGGGUAGUCCCAGCUGUAAACGAUGCAGGCUAGGUGUUUGGGCGGCCACGUGCCGCUCUAGUGCCGCAGGGAAGCCGUUAAGCCUGCCGCCUGGGGAGUACGGCCGCAAGGCUGAAACUUAAAGGAAUUGGCGGGGAGCACCACAAGGGGUGAAGCUUGCGGUUU
rnacentral:rRNA from 1 species